rnacentral:misc_RNA from 1 species
GAUGAAGAACGGUAGCGAAAUGCGAUACUUGGUGUGAAUUGCAGAAUCCCGUGAACCAUCGAGUCUUUGAACGCAAGUUGCGCCCGAAGCCAUCAGGUUGAGGGCACGUCUGCCUGGGCGUCACAUAUCGUUGCCCAAUGCCUAUUGCAGUGCAAUAGGAAUUUCUAGGGCGAAUGAUGGCUUCCCGUGAGCGUUGUUGCCUCGCGGUUGGUUGAAAAUCGAGUCCUUGGUAGGGUGUGCCAUGGUAGAUGGUGGUCGAGUUAGAACGAUACCGAUCAUGUGCAUGCUCCCCAAAAUAUGGCCUCUAUGACCCACACGCGUCUUUUGACGCUCAUGACGAGACCUCAGGUCAGGCGGGGCUACCCGCUGAAUUUAAGCAUAUCAAUAAGCGGAGGA